GGUGGUAGAACCACUUCUGUUUCAAAGAUGGACUGGGGAAAGACAUUAAGUUUGGAGCAGCUCAGGGCUACGGAUUUAGCCUUUCUCCCUCGGGUCUCCAGACUCACUUAGGUCCUAGCUGCGGAGCAGGGACAGCGGAGGGAGCUGAGGCGGCCACGUUCAGGCCCAGCCACCAGCUGCUGAGAACCAGAAGUAGCCGACUCCUUUGGAAGAGCAUUCCCCUAGAUUACUUUGCCACUGCUCUGGAUCCCCUUGAACAGUGGUCCCUGAACACCGACUUUAAGAAGACUCCAAGGAUGGUCGUCCAGUCUUAUCAACUGCAGUUCCCCUCUGUGUUUCUUUCUUCACUUUCUUCACCCCAGUGAGGCACUCAGUAGGGGCAGCUCAUAGAUGAAGCAGCGGACAGCAGGUGGAAGGACUGACCUCUUAGAGUGCCAACUGUCAACAGUGUGCUGUCAGAUCCAGAGAGAAGAAGAAGAAAACGAGUUACGUGGAAGGGGGAGAACAGUUUGACAGUUCUUUAGAAGCUGAGAGUGAGAAAUGGUUAAAUUUGGAAGAAUUUACUGCAGGGCUCCUGUGUUGUCCCUACCGGGUUGUAUAAUCCGAGCGUUCCUGCUGGACUGUGAUUCAGAGAGACUGAGUAUCUCAGUGGUCCUGCUCAGCGCUUGUCCUUUAGUAAGAGACAACAACCCAUUAGUCUCUAUAUUGUUUCUCUGCACCGUAGGUCUGCACUUUUGAUCUGGAAGACAUUGACUAUCUUGUAGGAUAAAAGUCCAUGGUAA